GAUGAACGCUGGCGGCGUGCCUAACACAUGCAAGUCGAGCGAACAGACGGGGCGCUUGCUCUUCUGACGUUAGCGGCGGACGUGAGUGUAACACGGGGAUAUCCCACGUAUAAGACUGGGACAACUCCGGGGAACCGGAGCUACUACCGGCUAAUAUAUUGAACCACAUGGUUCAAUACUGAAAGACGGUUUUGCUGUUGCUUAUAGAUGGAUCCGCGCCGCAUUAGCUAGUUGGUCAGGUAACGGCUUACCAAGGCUACGAUGCGUAGCCGACCUGAGAGGGUGAUCGGCCACACUGGAACUGAGACACGGUCCAGACUCCUACGGGAGGCAGCAGUAGGGAAUCUUCCGCAAUGGGCGAAAGCCUGAUGGAGCAACGCCGCGUGAGUGAUGAAGGUCUUCGGAUCGUAAAGCUCUGUUAUAAGGGAAGAACUAAUGUGUAAGUAACUGUGCACGUCUUGACGGUACCUGAUCAGAAAGCCACGGCUAACUACGUG
rnacentral:rRNA from 1 species